AAUUCCGGGGUUAGCCUAUGGCCUUCUAAGCCGAUGGUCACAGGUUCGAAUCCUGUCGGGAUCGCCA
rnacentral:tRNA from 1 species